UUUCCGUAGGUGAACCUGCGGAAGGAUCAUUAAAGAGAAUGGAGUUCGCUCCGGGCUUCGGCCUACUCUUCACCCCAUGUUUACUAUCCUGUUUCUUUGGCGGGCCAGGCUUGUCCUACCGACAUGUCGGGUCGUGCUCGCCAAAGGCUUUACACUCUAAUUCUGUCUGACCAACACACCAAUAAACCAAAACUUUCAACAACGGAUCUCUUGGUUCUGGCAUCGAUGAAGAACGCAGC
rnacentral:misc_RNA from 1 species